rnacentral:rRNA from 1 species
UACUCGAGUGGCGAACGGGUGAGUAACACGUGGGUGAUCUGCCCUGCACUUCGGGAUAAGCUUGGGAAACUGGGUCUAAUACCGGAUAGGACCGCACUUUAGUGUGUGUGGUGGAAAGUUUUUUCGGUGUAGGAUGAGCUCGCGGCCUAUCAGCUUGUUGGUGGGGUAAUGGCCUACCAAGGCGGCGACGGGUAGCCGGCCUGAGAGGGUGUACGGCCACAUUGGGACUGAGAUACAGCCCAG